rnacentral:rRNA from 1 species
GAUGAACGCUAGCGACAGGCCUAACACAUGCAAGUCGAGCGGCAGCACCUCGGGUGGCGAGCGGCGCACGGGUGAGUAACGCGUAUGUAACCUGCCCAUGAGUGGGGGAUAGCCCGGUGAAAACCGGAUUAAUACCCCAUGAUACCAAUGUCUGACAUCACUUAUUGGUUAAAGAUUCAUUGCUCAUGGAUGGACAUGCGUUGGAUUAGCUGGUUGGCGGGGCAACGGCCCACCAAGGCGACGAUCCAUAGGGGUUCUGAGAGGAAGGUCCCCCACAUUGGUACUGAGACACGGACCANACUCCUACGGGAGGCAGCAGUGAGGAAUAUUGGUCAAUGGGCGGAAGCCUGAACCAGCCAAGUCGCGUGAAGGAUGAAGGCAUUACGUGUUGUAAACUUCUUUAGCUGUGGAGAAAUAAGGUGGUCGAGACCACCGAUGCUAGUACACAGAGAAUAAGGAUCGGCUAACUCCGUGCCAGCAGCCGCGGUAAUACGGAGGAUCCGAGCGUUAUCCGGAUUCAUUGGGUUUAAAGGGUGCGCAGGCGGUGCCUUAAGUCAGCGGUAAAAUCGUGGGGCUCAACCCCCAUCCCGCCGUUGAUACUGGGGCACUUGAUUACGGUCGAGGCAGGCGGAAUUCGUCGUGUAGCGGUGAAAUGCAUAGAUAUGACGAAGAACACCGAUUGCGUAGGCAGCCUACCAGGCCGUUAAUGACGCUCAUGCACGAAAGUGCGGGGAUCGAACA